rnacentral:lncRNA from 1 species
CGUCGCCCUCCUGAUGCUGCUCGUGGACGCUGAUCAGCCGGAGCCCAUGCGCAGCGGGGCGCGCGAGCUCGCGCUCUUCCUGACCCCCGAGCCUGGGGCCGAGCGAAGGAGGUGGAGGAGACCAUCGAGGGCAUGCUCCUCAGGCUGGAAGAGUUUUGCAGCCUGGCUGACCUGUCAGGAGUGAUACUUCACAGAUCCUGGAGGAAAACAUCCCAGUCCUUAAGGCCAAACUGACAGAAAUGCGUGGCAUCUAUGCCAAAGUGGACCGGCUAGAGAGUCACCUGCACCGGUGCCCGUGACGUACGAGCUGCCCACACUGUAUAGGACGGAGGACUAUUUUCCUGUGGACGCCGGGGAAGCA